UGAGAGGAUGAUCAGCCACACUGGAACUGAGAUACGGUCCACACUCCUACGGGAGGCAGCAGUGGGGAAUAUUGGACAAUGGGCGCAAGCCUGAUCCAGCUAUGCCGCGUGAGUGAGGAAGGCCUUAGGGUUGUAAAACUCUUUCAGUGGGGAGGAUAAUGACGGUACCCACAGAAGAAGUCCCGGCAAACUCCUUGCCAGCAGCCGCGGUAAUACGGAGGGGGCAAGCGUUGUUCGGAAUUAUUGGGCGUAAAGGGCAUGUACGCGGUUCGGUAAGUUAAAGGUGAAAUGCCAGGGCUUAACCCUGGAGCUGUU
rnacentral:rRNA from 1 species